rnacentral:tRNA from 1 species
GCCCACGUAGUUCAGCAGGCAGAACGCCACCUUGGUAAGGUGGAAGUCACCAGUUCAAUUCUGGUCGUGGGCU